AGUGAACGCUGGCGGUAGGCCUAACACAUGCAAGUCGAACGGCAGCACAGUAAGAGCUUGCUCUUACGGGUGGCGAGUGGCGGACGGGUGAGGAAUACAUCGGAAUCUACUUUUUCGUGGGGGAUAACGUAGGGAAACUUACGCUAAUACCGCAUACGACCUACGGGUGAAAGCAGGGGAUCUUCGGACCUUGCGCGAUUGAAUGAGCCGAUGUCGGAUUAGCUAGUUGGCGGGGUAAAGGCCCACCAAGGCGACGAUCCGUAGCUGGUCUGAGAGGAUGAUCAGCCACACUGGAACGGAGACACGGUCCAGACUACUACGGGAGGCAGCAGUGGGGAAUAUUGGGCAAUGGGCGCAAGCCUGAUCCAGCCAUACCGCGUGGGUGAAGAAGGCCUUCGGGUUGUAAAGCCCUUUUGUUGGGAAAGAAAAGCAGCAGGUUAAUACCCCGCUGUUCUGACGGUACCCAAAGAAUAAGCACCGGCUAACUUCGUG
rnacentral:rRNA from 1 species